rnacentral:rRNA from 1 species
GAUGAACGCUGGCGGCGUGCUUAACACAUGCAAGUCGAACGGAAAGGCCCAAGCUUGCUUGGGUACUCGAGUGGCGAACGGGUGAGUAACACGUGGGUGAUCUGCCCUGCACUUCGGGAUAAGCCUGGGAAACUGGGUCUAAUACCGGAUAGGACCACAUUUUGGAUGGUGUGGUGGAAAGUUUUUCGGUGUGGGAUGAGCUCGCGGCCUAUCAGCUUGUUGGGGGGGUAAUGGCCUACCAAGGCGUCGACGGGUAGCCGGCCUGAGAGGGUGUACGGCCACAGUGGGACUGAGAUACGGCCCAGACUCCUACGGGAGGCAGCAGUGGGGAAUAUUGCACAAUGGGCGCAAGCCUGAUGCAGCGACGCCGAGUGGGGGAUGACGGCCUUCGGGUUGUGAACUCCUUUCGCUAGGGACGAAGCGUUAUGUGACGGUACCUGGAGAAGAAGCACCGGCUAACUACGUG